rnacentral:rRNA from 1 species
AGGGUUUGAUUAUGGCUCAGAUUGAACGCUGGCGGCAGGCCUAACACAUGCAAGUCGAGCGGUAGAGAGGUGCUUGCACCUCUUGAGAGCGGCGGACGGGUGAGUAAUGCCUAGGAAUCUGCCUGGUAGUGGGGGAUAACGCUCGGAAACGGACGCUAAUACCGCAUACGUCCUACGGGAGAAAGCAGGGGACCUUCGGGCCUUGCGCUAUCAGAUGAGCCUAGGUCGGAUUAGCUAGUUGGUGGGGUAAUGGCUCACCAAGGCGACGAUCCGUAACUGGUCUGAGAGGAUGAUCAGUCACACUGGAACUGAGACACGGUCCAGACUCCUACGGGAGGCAGCAGUGGGGAAUAUUGGACAAUGGGCGAAAGCCUGAUCCAGCCAUGCCGCGUGUGUGAAGAAGGUCUUCGGAUUGUAAAGCACUUUAAGUUGGGAGGAAGGGCAUUAACCUAAUACGUUAGUGUUUUGACGUUACCGACAGAAUAAGCACCGGCUAACUCUGUGCCAGCAGCCGCGGUAAUACAGAGGGUGCAAGCGUUAAUCGGAAUUACUGGGCGUAAAGCGCGCGUAGGUGGUUCGUUAAGUUGGAUGUGAAAUCCCCGGGCUCAACCUGGGAACUGCAUUCAAAACUGUCGAGCUAGAGUAUGGUAGAGGGUGGUGGAAUUUCCUGUGUAGCGGUGAAAUGCGUAGAUAUAGGAAGGAACACCAGUGGCGAAGGCGACCACCUGGACUGAUACUGACACUGAGGUGCGAAAGCGUGGGGAGCAAACAGGAUUAGAUACCCUGGUAGUCCACGCCGUAAACGAUGUCAACUAGCCGUUGGGAGCCUUGAGCUCUUAGUGGCGCAGCUAACGCAUUAAGUUGACCGCCUGGGGGAGUACGGCCGCAAGGUUAAAACUCAAAUGAAUUGACGGGGGCCCGCACAAGCGGUGAGCAUGUGGUUUAAU